CUUGGCUCGAGAAAAUUACUCCUGGCGUUUACGAAAACAGUCAAAUGAUCAUCAAGGUUUAAAUAAAUUGCUUCGACGGAAUGAAUGGAACCACAGGAUCGUCGUAGAUACCUCGGAAAAGAUCAUCAAGCACUUGACCUCGCACCUAACUCGCAUCUAAUCGGUCAUCCGGCUGUCUACGUUAAACGAUAUACGUUUCUGCUUUCUUUACGUUGAAGCUGUUAUAAGAUUCCGUCCAACAGAGGAUACAAGAUUCGCGACGAAUUCCCGUCGGUACGCCGGAAAACGAAUCCCACCAAAUGUUGACAGCCGCACCUCGAAACGCGUCGCUGAUGAGGCACAGAUUUAAAGAAAAGUAGCAGAAAAGAAUGUUGCUUGGUUUUUGAUUUGAAAAGGAUAAUAAAAUAGAAGCGCAAAAUAACUCGUUCUUCUUGCCAUUCUCAAUGUUUUUAUUUUAAAUUGGAAAACAUAAAUUUAUAAUUCACAUGUGAAAUUGAGAGUGACUACAACUAGUUGUUUUGAAAGUAUC